GACGAACGCUGGCGGCGUGCUUAACACAUGCAAGUCGAGCGGUAAGGCCCUUUCGGGGGUACACGAGCGGCGAACGGGUGAGUAACACGUGGGUGACCUGCCCUCAGCUCUGGGAUAAGCCUGGGAAACCGGGUCUAAUACUGGAUAUGACUCCAUGACGCAUGUUGUGGGGUGGAAAGCCUUGUGCGGCUGAGGAUGGGCCCGCGGCCUAUCAGCUUGUUGGUGGGGUGANGGCCUACCAAGGCGACGACGGGUAGCCGGCCUGAGAGGGCGACCGGCCACACUGGGACUGAGACACGGCCAGACUCCUACGGGAGGCAGCAGUGGGGAAUCUUGCGCAAUGGGCGAAAGCCUGACGCAGCGACGCCGCGUGAGGGAUGACGGCCUGUGUACGUA
rnacentral:rRNA from 1 species